rnacentral:lncRNA from 1 species
AGAAGCAGGCUGUUUCCUGAAGAGGUUUUGUAGGUCAAGUAACAAGGGACAGUAGCACAGGGAUUCCCUCACAGAGUAUCACUCAUUUAUUGUUUGUGUUUCUAUUGAGGUGAUGCUUUAUGCCAGCUGAAUAGAGUGCAUCUGACAGACCCUUUCUGCUUUCUUCCAGUGUCCUCCUGUGCUUGGCCUCUGUGGUUCUCCACAUGCAGUGUUGGAAGGAUUCCCUGCAGGUCCCUCUUUGAUACUUCCCUGAGCCUUUCUCUGCGGCUCUUACUUUCUGUACAUCGAUGGAGCUCAACAGAAGCUGCUGACUCUCCCAAGCCAGUCCCGGAGACAAGCGUUACAGGAGCAGGAUUACUCCGUGGAGGUAACGAGGGGGAAGAACGACAGGUUUUGCAACAGGACAAUGCAGAGUCACAGAUCCCUCUGGGACAGCCACCAGCCGUUGUACGAGUCUACACCGAGUCUCAGUGCGGCACUGGCCCUGCUUCAGAGCACGUGAACGUGUGAACACGGCCAGCGCACUGCAUCGGCCAGAGCCCGCUCCCAGCACGGCGUGCCCACGGCAGGAGACUGGGUGCCAGAGUAGCACCAGGAUGUGAAGAAUGGAUGCUGCUGGAUGCUCAAGAGCAGAGGAUCUAUCAACUGCAGACCAAGCAGAGGGAGAGGCAGGCAGAACUGGAGCAGAAAUGCAGCCGGAUCCAGCAGCUCAACCAGGACGUGGAGGCCAGUCACCAGCUGCAGGAGGAAGCUCAGAAGCAGUGGGGAGAGCUGCAGGGAAGGGCUCGGCAGAAGACCUACAACGUGUCCAUCAGUUCCAUAUAUUGGGAGCUUGUAGAGGACUGACACACUGGAACAGUUGUGGAAGAAGUGUCAUGUCUCGCGCUCUGACCGGCUCCAGAGGACAGCACUCAGAAGUGUGCUGGCUGAGACACCCCUCAUUCGGUGCAGGUGAGUGCAAACCUCACAGCCCCAUUGCCUGCAUCAAACCACGGUGCCUCUGCGACUCCCACAUUCCCUCUGGGGAGCAGCAGCAGACCUGCUUCUCUGAGUCUCCCUUGGCAUGGCUGAGUCCCCUUAGAAGGUCACUGGGCAGCCCCUAA